AAAAAGUCAGUGAACGCACCUCUGAGUCGGAGCUGCUGAUGGUCUCCGACUCGUUGACUAGGGAGGACUUGACAUCGUCCAGAUCUCUGACAGUUGGAGAAUGGAGGAGGUGGAGGCGAAGGAGGAGCAGAAGGAGGAGGUGAUGAUAGUGGACGACGAGGAGGAGGUUCUUCUCGGAUCCGGAUUCUCGAUCAGCGGGAAACAGCGCCCCUCACAGGAGAAAUUCAGAGUGCCUGAACAACAGGUUGCUGCCUGUAGUUUCUUCGGACAAGAUACAAAGAGAAGCAACGUUGAGAAGAGUUCACCAAUAUAAACAGUACAUACAUACAGUACAGUACAGAGAAAUGCGUUUUGCUGAAGAAACAAAAUAAAACGGGUAAAACAUUAAACAAUAUAUUUGCUGAACACACCGCAUCGCUGCUCAAAUUAUGUUUUAAUCCUUGGUUGACCCCCUCAGAAAUUAUUAAUCCAUUGCUGCCUUCAUUACUAAUGUGAAAUGCGUUAUUAAGAGCCCAUAGCAACUGUGAUUCAUUGAAUUCCAGUAUAUAUGAAUCCAUGGGUCUGUGAGUUAAAUUCACUGAUUUUCUUUAUAAACUUUGGUCUGUGAGGUAAAAUUACUCACGUUCUUUAUUUACUUUUUACGAAGUAAGAAACAGGGCCGUUUAUUAGGUUCAGUUUCCUGUUGGAAAAAGCUGUGGGAUUAAGCCACAAACAUAUCGUAGACUUACGUUGCAUGACAUGCAUACACACACACACACACUAAUGUUUUGCAAUUAAAUAGUGGGUUCCCUGUGGAGAGAAACCUGGUGGUAAUUAGUGCCCACAGCGUGGUAACCCUCCCUCUGUGUCUUUGUUUGUUUUCUCCUCUUUUUCAGGUUGCUCUGAACCCUCUCUUUGUUCAGCCUUGCCUCCCAGACAGUAACACUAUUAUACCAGUAAUGUUUCGAGCACUGACAUGUGUAUGAAAGAAGUACCUAUAAAACAAAAGCUUUUCUAUGCUUUUUUUAAGUCAAGGCCUUCAGGCCAGUUUUCAGGAAAAAUGCUGUAACACUUACUAAAGCCUCAUGGUUAAA